UAUAACUAGAAAAAGUCAGUAGAUGAGAUGAAACUGCUACCAUCUGUCAAGUAAACGACUUCUGAGUCACUAAAAGGCAGAUCCCUUCAGCUCAAGACCACCUCAUCAUAUCUAUACAGUAAUGUGAGAGGGUCCCACCUCCAGGUAGCAGGGUAGCUGGGUUUAGAGUAUUCACUGUCUCAGCAACUAUGUACCCAGAUGAUUAACUGUUGUCCUAAGGUCAGCUUGCCAGCCUCCUGAGCCAAUAGGCUGUGGCCACUACAGCUUUGAAACAGGAGCCAGCCUAGUGUUACAGAGUCUAACUGCUUGGAUAAAUAUGCUACAGGUCAAUGCCACAACCCCAGCAUUUGUGUUAGGACUCCGAUAGCCAUUCCUUCUCUUUCAUGUACGUAUAAGAAGAACGGCUUUGUUUGAUCUGGUAGUUCUAAGGCUGGGGCCUGAAUUAAGGCUUUCCUAAUUUUUGUGAAGGCCUUUUUAAAAACCUGUUUCCCAGAGGGGUUUCUUUUCUCCCCUUUUUGUGGCUUCAUAGAUGGACUUAGCAAUGAGUGCGAAGUUUACAAUACAACCAAAACCUGCUGCCUCUAAAGACUCCCUGGUUUUGUUGGUGAGUGGUCAAGGUAGAAAGUGCACACACACCCUGCUUCCACUCACUACCACACUCUUUUUCCUUGACUUACCAUGAACUCUAAAUAUUUGACCCUUUUUGAGCCUAUAUGGACUUUUUUCCAGGAGACUUUAUACCUUGCCUUCCACAGGAUGUGAAGGAGGUCUUUAGUAUCAUUUCGGCAAUCUACUAGUCAGGGCUGCAAACAAAACAUCAUCAAUGUGCUGCAGGAUAAUGCACUCAUCGUUAGGUGGAAUAAAAACCUUGAGAUCCAUGGUUAGUGCUUCUUCAAAUAUUGUAGGAUAAUUCUGAAACCCUUGUGGGAAUAUAGUCCAAGUAUACUGCAUUUCUCCUCAUUGGAAAGCAAAAAUGGGCUGGCUUAUGGAAGACAGCCUGAGACAAAAGAAUGUAUCAUUCAAGUCUAAGCAAGUCAACCAGACUGCACUAGCAGGUAUUUGUCCAAGCAAGGGGUAUAGAUUGGGCACCACUGGGUGGAUUGUGAAGCAGCAAUUACAUGUCUUUUAGAUUGACAGAAAGGCCUUCUUUCUGACACUCUGGUGACCCCAAUGAUGGUAGCAUAAUUUUUGGUUAAUGGCCCAACUGGCUGAGUCACUAUUAAGUGCUCAGGACCUAUAUCUACCAUAAAACUUGUUUGUUGGCCCCCAUAUCCAUUUUGACCAUGGGAUCCUGGAGGUGAAGGGAAAGAGAGCCCGAUCUGUCUCAGUCUGCAUAAUUUUCAGCCUCAACCAUGCCUAUUAGGUCAGUACUGGAUUUCAGGACACUGGAAUUAUCAUGCCGUGGACAAGGUAAGAACCUCUGGUUUGA
rnacentral:lncRNA from 13 species